ACACCCUGAACCAGCUUUUCACCAAGAAUCCUUAGCCAAACCGCACCAACAGAGUGCUGAGGCGGUUGAUGAGAGCUGUGAAGGCGUUGGAGAGGAUGAAUGCUUGAUGAGGAGAACACUUGCCGCUCACGUUGACUAUAUUUAUACUCAAAAGCAUAAUAAUCCUUUAAAUAUAUGAAAUUACUCUCCUAAGUACUAUAUAUAGCAUCCACAAUUCCACUUAUUUAUGGCUGAUUGUUUUCUUUUUGUGCUAUGUUUGAUUGUUUUGAUACAUUAGGAGUUGGUAACUGUCUCAUUUGUUUGGAGUUGAGAAUUUGUAUUUUACUUUUCUCUUUUGCUCAUAUCCAUAUUGAUGAAGAGUUAAUGUAAUGAUUAUGUGUAUGAUUA